AUUAAGUGAGCCAAGAUUGAGUCCAGGGGGUGAUGUAGUCCAAAUCUGGGAGUUGAGGGGGUUAUGUACAUUUAACUCGACCAGAAACAGGACUGGCAUCGGGCUAUCUUCUCGCCUACUCCACACUAUCAACACGUAUUCAUUUUCUUCUUUCUCUAGUCUUCUGGUCUUUUCGGAGCUCCCAGCCAUGGAAAGGAGCAAAAGGCUGAGCCAGAUUAGAUCCACUCCAUCUCAAGACAAGCCCGAGUCUCCCCUCGGUUUGCUACUUUGUGGUCCUCACCUCCACACGCACCUCGUGGCUGGGAUGAUGCUUGGAUCCCGGCCGGUGAACACGUAGCAGGGCCCUAAUAGCAGCUGCAUGAUGGAGAACGCGAGGUCGUCGAACUCGACGAUGCCUUUCCCGUCAGCGUCCAUGGAGGCGAUGGAGUGGAUCUCGUUCCCUUAGCUCCUGCGCAAUUUUGGGGAUCCUGGGAGGGUUAUCCGUCCCCAACCGUCGAGCUGCAGGCGUCGUUGCUGUUCCCAAGCGAGGCACCUGACGCAUCUUCUUCAUCCUCUACAGUAGCAGCCCGGCUUUGGCGUUGCAUUCUUCCACCUGCAAUAUACUUUAAGUGUACUAUUUUUUCAGGUAUUUAUGGAUAUAUAAAAGGCCGGUAGCAUCCGUCUAGUUCACGGCGACGGACAUGGCCUCUGCACCGGCGAACAUUCAAGCCAAUACCCAUCUAGUUCAUAUGUAUGCAAGUAGAGCCACAUUUAAUAAAUCUUUGUUUCUGUCUGACCAAAUCCUUUGGUUUGUAUUGAUCAGUGUAUACAUGUCCUUGCCCUGAGUGCAUGUACCACUCUUAUAUUGUAAAUUCCCAAAGAGACAAUUGAUGACGGCACCUUAGAUUACAAAUUGAUAAUGUACAAUUAGUUAAGUGAAAUCGGUUCUGGCUCUCCAUGUUUCAUGGGGUGAAGCACAAUAUGUGUAAAGCCCUAUCGAGUUUUACCAUCUGAGCCACUUAGUACUGCGAUACAGUGGAGAUUCCAGCAAUCCUACAGUCCGUGGAUACUGCUAUUCAGUAGGUUAAUAGCGUGCCCCCUUUUUUAAAAAACCAUUUUAUUUGUUUUUAGUAACUUUAUUCCUUUUUGUAAUAUAUUUUGAGCUCUUCUUUAGAUAGCUAAUUCUUUGGUCUCAUUUAUUUGCUGUUUCUAUGAGUGUUUGUCCUCAUAUUUAGGUGAAAAUCCGAGUUGAAGAGGCGUGGGUCUAUCAUAAGGACCUGGUGAUUUUCAGGAAUGGAUAUGCGGAUCAUACAUGUUACGAAUCUACAUAACCUACCGAGUAUGCCUCUUUUUCGAUUCUAUUGUCGCCAUAAAGAAAAGCCUCCUUUUUCAAUUCUUUGUGAAAUUAAAAAAUAAGUACAUAUGAGAAAGGAUGGUGUAAUAUCAAUAUAAUUUGCAUAAUUAAAUGUUAAGAUGAGAACGACUAAACAUUCAGUGUCUCCAAACUGGAUAAGUCUGCAUGCACACAUAAUAAGUUAAAUCCAUGUUCUCAUGGACUCUUAAAGUAAACACAAUUGUAUGCUAAUGCAGAUUACUUCCAAGUAUAUAGAAUAUCUAGAAUAUAUUUGUAUAAGUGAAGUCAAGGGGAUUAAGUUUGUAGUUUAGCACUUGCUAAUGCGUCGUCCUAGCCUGUGUUCCUUCCAGGUGCUUUCCUAAUCCUCUUGUCUUCUGUUGAUUCUUUUCUCUUAUUUUUGCAUUCUGUCCUUUUAUUUUUCGUUUUUUCCUUUAGAUUUUGAAUCCAUUCUCACUAAAAGUUGAAUGUGAAUAAUAUACUUUCCUUGCUAGGCAAACUUUAAUAGAAAACUAAUUGUGUUUAUAGAUGCAUAUGUCGCAUUGUAGCACCAAGCUGUUGGUGCAUGUCCGUUCAAACAUAAAAAAAAGAACCUUCUUUCUUAGCUGAGAAUACCUCGUCAUUGGUACCAUCAAUGCUAAAAUGGUCAUGAUUUUUGUCAUGUCCUGCCAGUAAGGUAAGGUAGAAUACCAUAUAGUUUAAAAUAUAAAAUUGGACAUUUGUUUUUCUUAAAACAAAAAUUUAAAGUUUUGACAUGUGUAAAUUAUUUUUGCAGGUACAUGCAUUUAUUGGGUCCAAUAAUCACCCUGGUUAUCGAUAAACGAUUAGAAACAUUGGAUUUGGGGUAUUGCAAAAAUAGUUUAAAGUUCUCACCUUUGAUACUUGAAUAAAAUUGGAAGUGACAGUCAUGAUUGUUUUUUGUGCCAAACUUCCAUUUACCAUAUUUGCUAAAAUAUAUCCCCGUAGAGUGAUCCCUACCUUCUCACCACUGAAAGAAUUUGACCAUGUAAAAGUAAUGUAAAAAGUCAUACAUAAUUCUGAAAUUGCUUACAUAAUUGAAAUAACUUACAAUAGCAAAAGGACUUGCAUCUCGCAGAUGUUUCAAGUUUGCUCUCUGCUUGUCCGUCUGUUCUUCUGUACUUCCUCAAUUGGUUUCAUCAUGGUAAGCAACCCAAUCCAUUGAUCCAUGAUUAGUAACGAAUUCAUCAAUGCCAUAUACAGGAACCGUGCAAAUUAUCUAAAUUGGUGCAGGUGAUACAUGCUGGAGAUAAUUUGAUGCACAUAUUACUUACUGGAGGUGGUGUGAUUGCUUGACGGAGCCGAUAACAGUCGAGGAGAGUCAACAGAGGAAACUGGGGCACUUGCAACUAUUGGAGGAAGGUGAUGUCCAAGUGCCGAUCGCUGGAGGAAGACGAUGACGAAGGUGGGCUCUGAAGGUGGGAUCCGACUUGUGGGGCGUGCUGAAACUGACUUGAUGCUAGCUUGUCAGCUAGUUUCAUCGCCCUGGCACCAUUGCUAACGUGAUUGCCAGAGUUCAUAAAUCACAACAUUACCUUCUCGCGGUAUCGCCUCGCCCUGAUUGCUCAAGGUAGUAGCCGCCUGCCUGGGACAACAAAUCAAUCUAAAGUUAGACUUUGUUC